AUUGAACGAUGGCGGCAGGCUUAACACAUGCAAGUCGAACGAGUGGCGGACGGGUGAGUAAUGCUUGGGAAUCUAGCUUAUGGAGGGGGAUAACUACGGGAAACUGUAGCUAAUACCGCGUACCAUAGGAUGAGCCCACGUGGGAUUAGGUAGUUGGUGAGGUAAAGGCGCACCAAUCCGACGAUCUCUAGCUGGUCUGAGAGGAUGACCAUCCAAACGGGGACCGAGACACGGCCCAGACUCCUACGGUAGGCAGCAGUGGGGAAUAUUGCGCAAUGGGGGCAACCUGACGCAGCCAUGCCGCGUGAAUGAAGAAGGCCUUCGGGUUGUAAAGUUCUUUCGGUAGCGAGGCGUUAACUACAGAAGAAGCACCGGCUAACUCCGUGCCAGCCGCCGCGGUAAUUC
rnacentral:rRNA from 1 species